UGGGGAAUAUUGCACAAUGGGCGCAAGCCUGAUGCAGCCAUGCCGCGUGUGUGAAGAAGGCCUUCGGGUUGUAAAGCACUUUCAGCGAGGAGGAAGGUGGUGAGCUUAAUACGCUCAUCAAUUGACGUUACUCGCAGAAGAAGCACCGGUUAACUCCGUGCCAGCAGCCGCGGUAAUACGGAGGGUNCAAGCGUUAAUCGGAAUUACUGGGCGUAAAGCGCACGCAGGCGGUUUGUUAAGUCAGAUGUGAAUCCCGGCGUCAACCUGGGAACUGCAUUUGAAACUGGCAAGCUAGAGUCUCGUAGAGGGGGGUGNGAAUUACCAGGUGUAGCGGUGAAAUGCGUAGAGAUCUGGAGGAAUACCGGUGGCGAAGGCGGCCCCCCUGGACGAAGACUGACGCUCAGGUGCGAAAAGCGUGGGGGCAGCAAACAGGAUUAGAUACCCUGGUAGUCCACGCUGUAAAACGAUGUCGAUUUUGGGAGGUUGUGCCCCUUGAGGCGUGGCUUCCGGAGCUAACGCGUUAAAUCGACCGCCUGGGGAGU
rnacentral:rRNA from 1 species